GUUUUGUGAUUCUGUGAUUAUGCUAGAAUGGUGAAAUUCUUGGGAGAAAACAGCCCCUCCUUGGCAGUUUCUCCAGCCUCGAUGAGAGGUACAACAACUGCCUCCUUGGAGCUUUGUGGAAGGAAAAUCGAGAGAGAUAAGAGAUGGAGUCUUUGCUCAUAUCAUUCUCUAUGCUUUCUUUCUAAAGUAGAAAUUCUUAUAAUCUUGGCUCUUGUUCCCUUUUUGUGCAAAGCUAAGAAUGUACAUCUGAGACAUAGAGUACAUGGAGAAAUAUUAUCUCCUUCAAUUUUGUAACAUUGUACUAAUUGGAUCAUUCUUGUAUCUUUACU